GUUUGUUUUAUUUCUUGUAGCGACAAAUAUAUACAUAUUAUUAUUUAUUAUAAACAUAAAGUCAUACAAAUUAAAUGUUGAUUGUUGGUUUUACCAUACUGUGUGGGCUUUCCUUUCAUUUUCAAGUCCCUACCCCCCUGUCACGUCCCUGUUGCUAAACCACGCGAGAUUUGUACGGAAUGUUUUGAAGGACUCGUAAACAACAUUUUACAUGGUGAUAAAAUGGCGUAUUUCUUGUAUUUUGUUUAGAUUUUUUAGUUUCCUCCUGUUAUAAAGGGUUAAAUUUAUUAUUAGUGGAAUGGAAAUGGCUUGGAUGGAAG